rnacentral:snoRNA from 1 species
CAACGUGAAUAUCCGUGGGAAGUCCCUCUCCUCGGGCUCUGUCCAGGUGGCCCUAUGAUGUAUAGUCCCAUUCCACACGUUAGAGAUGAAGCCAGGCCUCGAGCUGGCACCUGCAUAUUCCUACAGCUUCUCAAGAGUCCUAUGGACAAUGACUGAGGAGACAAACCAUGCAGGAAACAGCU